UUUAAAAAUAGAAUUUUAGAUCUUAUGAGGGUUUUUAAGAUUUCUUGCAAUCUACUAGUUGGAUUGGAGUAAAAUUUGUGUAAGAGGGUAUUAAACUUAUUUUUCUAUAUUUAUGAGAAUUUUGAGAUCAAUUGAAUGGUGAAAAGGAAAGAUAUUGGCUCUAGGAGAUUGGCAUCAAGGUUGGAGAAGGAGGCCAGCCAAUACCCGAGCACUUUUCUGAGGUUAUCGUCUAUUUGGUAAUUUCGAUCCUUUUCAAAAAAAAAUUGUGCUUGUUUUCAACUAAGUUUUUAAAAAGUGUGCAAAAUUUGAGUUAAGAUCGAUGGUUCAUUCAUUAAUUAUUGAGGUUUAAUUCUGUUGUAGAAAUUACUAGGAUUUGAUUGGGAUUUGAUUUAGGUUUAGGAUUUGGUUAAGGUUUGAUUUAGGAUUAGGAUUUGGUUUAGGAUUUAGGAUUAGGAUUAGGAUUUGGUUAGGAUUUGAUUUCGGAUUAGGGUUUGGUUUAAGGUUUAGGAUUUGAUUAGAGUUUGAUUUAGGAUUAAGAUUUGGUUUAGGAUUUAGGAUUUGAUUUAGGAUUAGGGUUUGAUUUAGGUGUUAGGGUUUGGUUAGGAUUUGAUUUAGAAUUAGGAUUUGUUUUAGGAUUUAGAGUUUAGGAUUUGAUUUAGGAUUUAGGAUUCGAUUUAGGAUUUAGGACAUGGUUUAGGAUUUAAGGUUUGGUUAAGAUUUGAUCAAGAUUUGAUUUAGGAUUUAGGAUUUUAUUUGAGUUUGUUUAGGAUUUAAGAUUUAGUUAGUUUUUGGCAUAAAGUUUGAAUGAAGUAUGAUUUCAACUAGGAUUAAAUUAAGAUUGAAUUGAGAUGUAUUUGAGAUAUAUUUGUAAUCAUUCUAAUAUUUCUUUAAGAUUUCUUAUUGUUUCUUUGGAAUUCCUUUGAGGUUUCUUUGAAUUUGAUUAAAGCUUGUUUAGCAUUGUUAGUGUUCUAUUAGAAUUAGGAUUUUGUUGGUAAAAUUUCCAUUCUACCUUCCAUAGCUAGGUGCGCUGAACAUUCUCAAGCAAGACAUCAUGUAUUAUAAUAAUGUAAGGUACCAAUAAUGCAAAAAAUUGUAAUUCCAAGCCUCAAUUUAAACUAAAAAAAUUAUAAUUAAAUAGAUUAUCAAUUCAAGGGUCAUUUUUGUAAUUAUUACAAAAGAUAGGAAUAGAUUUGAUAUUAUUAAGAAUUGAGGAAUAUUCUUGAUAUUUC
rnacentral:lncRNA from 1 species